rnacentral:rRNA from 1 species
UACAGAGGUCUCAAGCGUUGUUCGGAUUCAUUGGGCGUAAAGGGUGCGUAGGUGGCGCCAUAAGUCGGGUGUGAAAUCUCGGGGCUUAACUCCGAAACUGCAUUCGAUACUGUGGUGCUUGAGGACUGGAGAGGAGACUGGAAUUCAUGGUGUAGCAGUGAAAUGCGUAGAGAUCAUGAGGAAGACCAGUGGCGAAGGCGGGGUCUCUGGACAGUUCCUGACACUGAGACACGAAGGCCAGGGGAGCAAACGGG